AUUGAACGCUGGCGGCAGGCUUAACACAUGCAAGUCGAGCGGGGUGAUGGUGCUUGCACUAUCACUUAGCGGCGGACGGGUGAGUAAUGCUUAGGAAUCUGCCUAUUAGUGGGGGACAACAUCUCGAAAGGGAUGCUAAUACCGCAUACGUCCUACGGGAGAAAGCAGGGGAUCACUUGUGACCUUGCGCUAAUAGAUGAGCCUACGUCGGAGUAGCUAGUUGGUGGGGUAAGGGCCUACCAAGGCGACGAUCUGUAGCGGGUCUGAGAGGAUGAUCCGCCACACGGGGACUGAGACACGGCCCAGACUCCUACGGGAGGCAGCAGUGGGGAAUAUUGGACAAUGGGGGGAACCCUGAUCCAGCCAUGCCGCGUGUGUGAAGAAGGCCUUAUGGUUGUAAAGCACUUUAAGCGAGGAGGAGGCUCUUUUGGUUAAUACCCAAGAUGAGUGGACGUUACUCGCAGAAUAAGCACCGGCUAACUCUGUGCCAGCAGCCGCCGUAA
rnacentral:rRNA from 1 species